rnacentral:rRNA from 1 species
UAUGAGAGUUUGAUCCUGGCUCAGGACGAACACUGGCGGCGUGCCUAAUACAUGCAAGUCGAACGCUUCUUUUUCCACCGGAGCUUGCUCCACCGGAAAAAGAGGAGUGGCGAACGGGUGAGUAACACGUGGGUAACCUGCCCAUCAGAAGGGGAUAACACUUGGAAACAGGUGCUAAUACCGUAUAACAAUCAAAACCGCAUGGUUUUGAUUUGAAAGGCGCUUUCAGGUGUCGCUGAUGGAUGGACCCGCGGUGCAUUAGCUAGUUGGUGAGGUAACGGCUCACCAAGGCCACGAUGCAUAGCCGACCUGAGAGGGUGAUCGGCCACAUUGGGACUGAGACACGGCCCAAACUCCUACGGGAGGCAGCAGUAGGGAAUCUUCGGCAAUGGACGAAAGUCUGACCGAGCAACGCCGCGUGAGUGAAGAAGGUUUUCGGAUCGUAAAACUCUGUUGUUAGAGAAGAACAAGGAUGAGAGUAACUGUUCAUCCCUUGACGGUAUCUAACCAGAAAGCCACGGCUAACUACGUGCCAGCAGCCGCGGUAAUACGUAGGUGGCAAGCGUUGUCCGGAUUUAUUGGGCGUAAAGCGAGCGCAGGCGGUUUCUUAAGUCUGAUGUGAAAGCCCCCGGCUCAACCGGGGAGGGUCAUUGGAAACUGGGAGACUUGAGUGCAGAAGAGGAGAGUGGAAUUCCAUGUGUAGCGGUGAAAUGCGUAGAUAUAUGGAGGAACACCAGUGGCGAAGGCGGCUCUCUGGUCUGUAACUGACGCUGAGGCUCGAAAGCGUGGGGAGCAAACAGGAUUAGAUACCCUGGUAGUCCACGCCGUAAACGAUGAGUGCUAAGUGUUGGAGGGUUUCCGCCCUUCAGUGCUGCAGCUAACGCAUUAAGCACUCCGCCUGGGGAGUACGACAUCUAAAAGCCCAUCAUCCAGGUGCUUUCUUUACCAGCCUGAUGAAUUCUGUUCGGCAUAAAUUCGAAGCAACGCGAAGAACCUUACCAGGUCUUGACAUCCUUUGACCACUCUAGAGAUAGAGCUUCCCCUUCGGGGGCAAAGUGACAGGUGGUGCAUGGUUGUCGUCAGCUCGUGUCGUGAGAUGUUGGGUUAAGUCCCGCAACGAACGCAACCCUUAUUGUUAGUUGCCAUCAUUCAGUUGGGCACUCUAGCAAGACUGCCGGUGACAAACCGGAGGAAGGUGGGGAUGACGUCAAAUCAUCAUGCCCCUUAUGACCUGGGCUACACACGUGCUACAAUGGGAAGUACAACGAGUUGCGAAGUCGCGAGGCUAAGCUAAUCUCUUAAAGCUUCUCUCAGUUCGGAUUGCAGGCUGCAACUCGCCUGCAUGAAGCCGGAAUCGCUAGUAAUCGCGGAUCAGCACGCCGCGGUGAAUACGUUCCCGGGCCUUGUACACACCGCCCGUCACACCACGAGAGUUUGUAACACCCGAAGUCGGUGAGGUAACCUUUUGGAGCCAGCCGCCUAAGGUGGGAUAGAUGAUUGGGGUGAAGUCGUAACAAGGUAGCCGUAUCGGAAGGUGCGGCUGGAUCACCUCCUU